GCUGGGAGUUGCACUUUGACGCUGAUUGUUAUAUUCCUUGCUUUUAAUAAUUUUUGUUUUCCAGUAAAACAAAUCUGUUAGGAAAGGAUUGGACAGGCACCCCACUGUUUGCCUGGAGUGGCUUAUAAUAAUGUAAGGGUUUGCACAAAGAUGAUCUUUUCUUCAAAAGCUAAUCUGCCAGUGGGUCUCAGUGUGAUAGAUAUGUGCACUGGCAAGGAUGGCUCAGUAGCAAGCCUUUCACUACAUUUAUUUCACAUGAUUAAUAAAUUUUUAUUAGGAACAGCUUAUGCCUAGUACUAGUAGUUCAUCAUGGAGAUGUGUUUUGUGCUGUGUUUCAAUGCAGACAGAUAUGUCCCUAAUGAUUUCAGACACUGAAUAAUGCUCUUUAUUUUUAUCAAAAGUAACCUUUUUUUUUUCCUGGUUACUUUUUACUGAAAAGUCUGGGCUGAAAAGCUGGAUACUUCUAUCUUACAGAGCCAUUCAAAAUAUGUGCAUUUUACAGAUAGACAGAUAUUUUUACAAGCUCUUAAUCUACCUCUCUUGUAAAAAGAUGAAUUUUUUAAAUAACUGGUUCAGAGGUUUAGAGACUAGGGAAUUUGACUAAAGUUUUACUUUAAUUUAUGGUUGCCUUCUCCCUGAUUACCCCAAAGUAUAACCUUGUGAAAGAGCAUCAAUUUUACAUCUGAUCCAACUACUUUUAUGCAACUGCUAGUUUAAUGAUUAGAAUAAUAUUUUACUGAUUUGGGCAAUAUGCUAAAACUUUGUUACAGGUGUAACAGCAUUUCAGACAGAAAAAGUGGAAGGCCUCUAUUUAUAUUUAUACACUUAACCAUGACCUCAAUUCAAAAAAAUCACCUCUACUAGACAGAAUAUAAGGUUGUGCUUAACAUUAACCAUGUUCUUGAAAUCAUGGUAGCACCAAAGCCUUCCAACAGAAUAAUUACUUCACUUUUAGAAGUUGCAGGGAGUUGAAAUUUCUGCACUUUUCUUUUUUUCAUGCUAACAUUAGCACUGUGAGUUUAAAUAGUUGGCAUUCAUCUUUGAACACCAAAAAAAAAAA
rnacentral:lncRNA from 1 species